GUGCCAGCAGCCGCGGUAAUACGAAGGGGUCUAGCGUUGCUCGGAAUCACUGGGCGUAAAGGGUGCGUAGGCGGGUCUUUAAGUCAGGGGUGAAAUCCUGGAGCUCAACUCCAGAACUGCCUUUGAUACUGAAGAUCUUGAGUUCGGGAGAGGUGAGUGGAACUGCGAGUGUAGAGGUGAAAUUCGUAGAUAUUCGCAAGAACACCAGUGGCGAAGGCGGCUCACUGGCCCGAUACUGACGCUGAGGCACGAAAGCGUGGGGAG
rnacentral:rRNA from 1 species